rnacentral:tRNA from 1 species
AUCUUUAUAGCUUAAUUAUAGAGCGUAGUGUUGAAGCCACUAAAGUAGGCUUAGCCUUGAAGAUG